UGGGGAAUCUUCCGCAAUGGACGAAAGUCUGACGGAGCAACGCCGCGUGAGUGAAGAAGGCCUUCGGGUUGUAAAGCUCUGUUAUUGGGGACGAACGUGCGGUUUGUAAAUAAUGAAUCGUAAUGACGGUACCUGAGGAGGAAGCCACGGCUAACUACGUGCCAGCAGCCGCGGUAAUACGUAGGUGGCAAGCGUUGUCCGGAAUUAUUGGGCGUAAAGAGCGUGUAGGCGGGAAGUUAAGUCUAUCUUAAAAGUGCGGGGCUCAACCCCGUGAGGGGAUAGAAACUGACUUUCUUGAGUGUCGGAGAGGAAAGUGGAAUUCCCAGUGUAGCGGUGAAAUGCGUAGAUAUUGGGAGGAACACCAGUGGCGAAGGCGACUUUCUGGACGAUAACUGACGCU
rnacentral:rRNA from 1 species